rnacentral:lncRNA from 1 species
CUAUUCUGCUUUAUAAAAUAGCCCACGACAUCUAGGGAAUUUGUGCAGAACUGUCUUACCAAUACAAUGGAAAUUGUUACUUCUAGAAGAAUUUCCAUUAGCCCUUUGAAAUCCUUCAACAUUCAUUAAGGCCAAGGAAUUUUCACCUAAUUCAAUCUGAUGGGUGCAAGAACAGGGUCUUUCUAGGGAAUACAGACUCCCAGAUUGUUCAGUUGGGAAGUAAGGGGAGAAUUUAUUACUUAAAAUCAAAGGGAAAUGAAAAGAGGCCAACCCAGAAUGUUAUUACUCUCUUUCUCAGGUGGGGGAUUGAGUUCCAAGUCUUUCUGCUCCCUUCACAUGGCCUCCUUACUCAGCAUCUAAAAGCUUUGAGUCUUGGGCACACCCAGCUAGGUUCUCUUCUAAUGUAACAGAAUCUGCUUCAGCAAAGCCAUCUCCAGACUCCAGAAAUGAUAGGUUAGGAUCUGCCAAUAUGGGAGCCAAGAACCAACCAUUCACUGAGCCCUACUGCCCAGUCUCUUUACAAGGCCAUCUCCUCUUACUGUUCAUUUAACAAAAUUGGAGCCCCUUCAGUUCAGUUCAGUUCAGU